AGAUGCGAUCAUACCAGCACUAAUGUACCGGAUCCCAUCGAAACUCCGAAGUUAACCGUGCUUGGGCGUGAGUAGUACUAAGAUGGACUUUGUCAUAGGACAUUCA
rnacentral:rRNA from 1 species